UACGUAGGGUGCAAGCGUUGUCCGGAAUUAUUGGGCGUAAAGAGCUCGUAGGCGGUUUGUCGCGUCUGCUGUGAAAACUCGGGGCUUAACCCCGGGUCUGCAGUGGGUACGGGCAGACUAGAGUGCGGUAGGUGAGACUGGAAUUCCUGGUGUAGCGGUGAAAUGCGCAGAUAUCAGGAGGAACACCGAUGGCGAAGGCAGAUCUCUGGGCCGUAACUGACGCUGAGGAGCGAAAGCGUGGGGAGCGAACAGG
rnacentral:rRNA from 1 species